UGGAAACACUUGGAUAAGCUAACAGCAGCAUGAAUCAAUUUCGACAACCGAGAUGCUCAGUGGUCGGCUGCAUAAAUCAGCACAAAUGUCUUCAUGUGACUCCAGCUUCAGAAGACACAAGAUUGAGAUGGAUUGAGUUCAUAUAUGAUGGCAACGUUCCUGCCACCACUUUGAAUAGGACUGUUUUAUCAACCUGGGUCAAUAUAACGCUGGAUUCUCUAAAAGGUUGUUAUUGAAAGAGGGGUCGGUGCCAUCUUUCCAUCGCAAUACUGAAGACGAGGGAAAUGCAAGCACAUCUGUUCACGGUGCUAGGCUACAUCACGUAGCAUGCCAGACGGACCCACCACAGAUGCGCACACAUGGAACGCAGCUUUCUAUGAAAACACUGCGACCUCACUACAAAAGUACAGGCACACAGAAAACUGUGCUGCACUGAUGUUGGUGUUGGGACCUCAGCUGUAAGAGACCUCGUUUGGAGAGGACAACCCAAGUUGUUCAAGUAUGGACUUCGGAGAGCCACAGGAUGCUGCCUAUGAUCCUGAUGACUCAAUCACAGUCUUGACUGAGUCAGCAGAUGUGACAUUACGUGGAUAACCUGUUGGACCUCAUCUUUCACGAGGUUUUUCAGGACCCGGCCCCAUAUGUGAAUGAGGUGCUGAAGAUCUCAAAACCUGAGGACCUCUCUGCUAAGUAUGAGAAACCUGACAAGCAGGAAGUUAUAGCCAGCUAUGUGUCGAGUUUCAAUCAAGGGCAGGUCUGAACCCUGUAUAACUUCCCUGCGCAUCAGGGAACACUCUGGUUAUCUGGAGCACCGAGCAGGAGGGCAGGACCACCCUGAUUCUCCGGCCCAGGUGGCCUCAUAACCAGCUCACAAAGCUUCUGUACGCCAAAUACCUGUAACAGCUGAGCAAAGUUUACAUUGUAUUUAGAGAAUAAAGGUGACACACAAAUAUAAAGUGUUCCUUUGUUUACAGUAUGGCUACUGAUGGCACAAAUUGUAUUUUUGUAAUCAAUGUUUUCAUUAUACUUGGUAUUUUUUGUAUUUAUUACCUCUGUCCCAGCCAGUACAUUUAAUAACUAUUUUUAAAAAGCUCUGUGGCAUUCUUUCUAGCAAUCUUUCUGACAAUAAAAGUUUAUAGAAA